ACCAGGAUGGCUGAGUGGUUAAGGUGUUGGACUUAAAAUCCAAUAGAUGUGGGUUCAAACCCCACUUCUGAUA